AACGAACGCUGGCGGCGUGGAUAAGACAUGCAAGUCGAACGGGACAGACCGAGUAGCAAUAUUUGGAAUGUUCAGUGGCGAACGGGUGCGUAACACGUGGAUAACAUUCCGGAAAGCGGGGAAUAGCCCAGGGAAACUUGGAUUAAUACCGCAUGUGGCCGCAAGGCUAAAGACGGGGACCGCAAGGCCUGUCACUUUCCGAUUGGUCCGCGGCCUAUCAGCUAGUUGGCGGGGUAAUGGCCCACCAAGGCUACGAGGGGUAGGUGGUCUUAGAGGACGACCAGCCAAACUGGAACUGAGACACGGUCCAGACACCUACGGGUGGCAGCAGUCGAGAAUCUUUCACAAUGGGGGCAACCCUGAUGGAGCGACGCCGCGUGGAGGAUAAGGUCUUCGGAUUGUAAACUCCUGUCAUGCGAGAACAAGGUACUCAGGCUAAUAACCUGAUUGUUUGAUGGUACCGCAAGAGGAAGAGACAGCUAACUCUGUGCCAGCCGCCGCGGUAACAC
rnacentral:rRNA from 1 species